rnacentral:rRNA from 1 species
AUUGAACGCUGGCGGCAGGCCUAACACAUGCAAGUCGAGCGGCAGCGGGAAAGUAGCUUGCUACUUUUGCCGGCGAGCGGCGGACGGGUGAGUAAUGCCUGGGAAAUUGCCCAGUCGAGGGGGAUAACAGUUGGGAACGACUGCUAAUACCGCAUCCGCCCUACGGGGGAAAGCAGGGGACCUUCGGGCCUUGCGCGAUUGGUUAUGCCCAGGUUGGAUUAACUAGUUGGUGAGGUAAUGGCUCAACAAGGCGACGAUCCCUAGCUGGUCUGAGAGGAUGAUCAGCCACACUGGAACUGAGACACGGUCCAGACUCCUACGGGAGGCAGCAGUGGGGAAUAUUGCACAAUGGGGGAAACCCUGAUGCAGCCAUGCCGCGUGUGUGAAGAAGGCCUUCGGGUUGUAAAGCACUUUCAGCGAGGAGGAAAGGUUGAUGCCUAAUACGUAUCAACUGUGACGUUACUCGCAGAAGAAGCACCGGCUAACUCCGUGCCAGCCGCCGCGGUAACAC